GUGAAUCGUACAUUUAUUUCAUUGGCUAAUAACUGCCUCCCUUCCCAGCACCAUUUCUAGCAAUUUUUUUGGCUCUUUUUUUUUUUUCCAGGGAAUCGCCUUUCUCUAUCUCCUGCAGCAUGGGAGUCGUGCUGUUCCUACAGUAAGAUCCUGCCUCCUGGCCAUAGGUGACAACCUGACUCAAGUUAGCUCAAAAAGAAUAUGAUAUUAGACUGUAAAAAAGAGAGAACAGUUACUUACUGAAUUACUAAACCUCAACCUUGGGUGCUGUUGGGAGCCAUGUUUUCUGUCGCAUGGGCCUGAAAACAAGAAAAAGAUUGAGUUGUGGAACAGACACAACACCUGGAAAAGAGAAGAAGCAGGACAGAAUGUCACACUCAGGGAUAACACAACCGUAACCAAGGAGGUGAAGAGGAGAAAGCCUUGUGGUACCAGAGAGCUAACUGUGAAGCAUAAAUAUGAUAAACUCAGAUGCCUUCAAGAACAAGUUGGGAGAAUCUGGAAUCCCAACAUUUACGGCUGAGAGCCAAAGACAGAGAAAUGCUAUUUCAUUAUUAUUUUUA
rnacentral:lncRNA from 1 species